UGGGGAAUUUUGGACAAUGGGCGAAAGCCUGAUCCAGCAAUGCCGCGUGUGUGAAGAAGGCCUUCGGGUUGUAAAGCACUUUUGUCCGGAAAGAAAUGGCUCUGGUUAAUACCUGGGGUCGAUGACGGUACCGGAAGAAUAAGGACCGGCUAACUACGUGCCAGCAGCCGCGGUAAUACGUAGGGUCCAAGCGUUAAUCGGAAUUACUGGGCGUAAAGCGUGCGCAGGCGGUCGUGCAAGACCGAUGUGAAAUCCCCGAGCUUAACUUGGGAAUUGCAUUGGUGACUGCACGGCUAGAGUGUGUCAGAGGGGGGUAGAAUUCCACGUGUAGCAGUGAAAUGCGUAGAGAUGUGGAGGAAUACCGAUGGCGAAGGCAGCCCCCUGGGAUAACACUGACGCUCAUGCACGAAAGCGUGGGGAGCAAACAGGAUUAGAUACCCUGGUAGUCCACGCCCUAAACGAUGUCAACUAGUUGUUGGGGAUUCAUUUCCUUAGUAACGUAGCUAACGCGUGAAGUUGACCGCCUGGGGAGUACGGUCGC
rnacentral:rRNA from 1 species